rnacentral:lncRNA from 1 species
CAACAUUCUAUCUACUCCGAUUGAAAGGAAAAAUGAAGAGGAAGAAGAACAGUGAAGAAGAGAGAGAAGAGAGAAAAGAAAGGAACUGAAACAUGAAAAUGCAAUAAUGAAUAAUGUGUAGAACCUUCCGUCAAUGUUCAGCCUAUAUCAAAGAAUAUCUAAUGUGUGUGUGUGUAAUUACAUGUGUACCCCUGUAACCUAUACAAAAUUGUACAUACAAAUUAAAUAACUAAUGCCCUUGGGCUGCUGCUAGUUUGGGCCGGUAGCUGCCUUGGGCUGAUGCUGAUGCUCACUAAUGUGCUGAAGCCCAACACCCCCUUCAAGCUGGAGGGUGAACAAACACCCAGCUUGGACAAGAAUUGAUGAUGCAAAAUAC